rnacentral:misc_RNA from 1 species
GAUGAAGAACGCAGCGAAAUGCGAUAAGUAAUGCGAAUUGCAGAAUUCCAGUGAGUCAUCGAAUCUUUGAACGCACAUUGCGCCCUUUGGUAUUCCGAAGGGCAUGCCUGUUCGAGCGUCAUUAUCACCCCUCAAGCCCUCGGCUUGGUGUUGGACGGUUUGGUGGAGGCCCCCUCGGGGGCUCCUGCCCCUCCCAAAGACAAUGACGGCGGCCUCGUUGGACCCCCGGUACACUGAGUUCUUCACGGGACACGUAUCGGACACAUGGGUUUACGGGACACGGUCUGCCUCCCCUCAGGGAGAAUCUUUCUAAGGUUGACCUCGGAUCAGGUAGGGAUACCCGCUGAACUUAAGCAUAUAAUAAGCGGAGGA